rnacentral:rRNA from 1 species
AUUGAACGCUGGCGGCAGGCCCAACACAUGCAAGUCGAGCGGCAGCGGAAAGUAGCUUGCUACUUUGCCGGCGAGCGGCGGACGGGUGAGUAAUGUCUGGGAAACUGCCUGAUGGAGGGGGAUAACUACUGGAAACGGUAGCUAAUACCGCAUAACGUCGCAAGACCAAAGAGGGGGACCUUCGGGCCUCUUGCCAUCAGAUGUGCCCAGAUGGGAUUAGCUAGUAGGUGGGGUAAUGGCUCACCUAGGCGACGAUCUCUAGCUGGUCUGAGAGAAUGACCAGCCACACUGGAACUGAGACACGGUCCAGACUCCUACGGGAGACAGAAGUGGGGAAUAUUGCACAAUGGGCGCAAGCCUGAUGCAGCCAUGCCGCGUGUAUGAAGAAGGCCUUCGGGUUGUAAAGUACUUUCAGCGGGGAGGAAGGCGUUGAGGUUAAUAACCUCACCGAUUGACGUUACCCGCAGAAGAAGCACCGGCUAACUCCAUGCCAGCAGCCGCCGUAA